rnacentral:rRNA from 1 species
UAGUCCACGCCCUAAACGAUGCUAACUCGAUAUUUGGAUCUUGAAUCUGAGUGUCUAAGCGAAAGCGAUAAGUUAGCCACCUGGGAAGUACGUUCGCAAGAAUGAAACUCAAAGGAAUUGACGGGGGCCCGCACAAGCGGUGGAGCAUGUGGUUUAAUUCGAUGAUACGCGAGGAACCUUACCAGGGCUUAAAUGUAGUGGGACAGGUGUGGAAACACGCCCUUCUUCGGACUCAUUACAAGGUGCUGCAUGGUUGUCGUCAGCUCGUGCCGUGAGGUGUCAGGUUAAGUCCUAUAACGAGCGCAACCCCUGUUGUUAGUUGCCAGCGAGUCAUGUCGGGAACUCUAACAAGACUGCCAGUGCAAACUGUGAGGAAGGUGGGGAUGACGUCAAAUCAUCACGGCCCUUACGUCCUGGGCUACACACGUGCUACAAUGGCCGGUACAGAGGGCAGCCACACCGCGAGGUGGAGCGAAUCCUUAAAACCGGUCUCAGUUCGGAUCGGAGU